UACGUAGGGUGCGAGCGUUAAUCGGAAUUACUGGGCGUAAAGCGUGCGCAGGCGGUUAUAUAAGACAGUUGUGAAAUCCCCGGGCUCAACCUGGGAAUUGCAUCUGUGACUGUAUAGCUAGAGUACGGUAGAGGGGGAUGGAAUUCCGCGUGUAGCAGUGAAAUGCGUAGAUAUGACGGAGGAACACCGAUUGCGAAGGCAGCCCACUACGCAACUAUUGACGCUGAGGCACGAAAGCGUGGGGAUCAAACAGG
rnacentral:rRNA from 1 species